rnacentral:lncRNA from 1 species
CAGGGCUCUUGCCUCCUGGAAGCUGAAGGCAGUGAACUCUAAUUUUUAGUCCCCUGGAGGCCUGGCCGUUUUAGGGGAUGAGCUCAGGGUAGGAUCAUUCUUCCUCAGAGUGCGGCCAGCCACAGGCUAGGGUUGGGUUAGGCUGCCCUGUGUCCACAGCCAGGCCUGCCUUUCGGAUGGUGCCGAGACUGUGGACAGGACUAGCAUGUCCCAGGGCUUGCACUGUCUCUGGGCCCUCUCCAGUUCCAGAUUCAUCCUGAACCCCACGGAGCCCAGGCAGCCACCUGUGCCAGCAAACACUGUGCCAUGCCUGUGCUGAGGCACAGAGGCAGGGCUCUUUGGGAGCAGGAAGGAUGCAGAUGGAGCUGGAUGUCACCAGAAAGGACACCCUGCACAUGAAAGACAUUGUCCCAGCAGACCUCCCUCUGGGCUUCGGGGUGGACAGGACACACACUGGAGGCUGUGAGCUGGACGUGGCCCUCGGGUGGCCUCUCACUGGCCUGCACCCUGUUCCAGGUGCUGGCGUCAAUCCCUGAGCCGAGUAAUGAAGGCGCUCCGGCCUCCUGGCGCUUCCAUCCCGGCGGUCCUGACAGC